GCCGGUUUGACAUUUUGGGCCGUUGGGAGAUUCAGAGUUCGGACCAGACAAUGGUUCACCUUCCAAUCCCUUUAGUUUCUCUCGGCCGAUUCGCUUUUAUUUGGGUGGUGCAGGCCAUGCUUCUUCUCCUUCGCUAAUAGCUUGUCGAAGUUGAAUCUAGGGGGCGGCAGGUCUGCGUAUAUUUCUCCGAACCUCUCAUUCUCUCCAUUUACUCCAUUAAUCCUUCUCUUUCUACCUUCUGCAAUCCGCAGGAGCUUAAUUUUUGAUCCACCAAAACCCUAAAACCUCAAAGAUGCUGCUAACUUUACUUACAAGACGAUGAAGCGAGCACGGAAAGUCUCCAACGCCGCAGCAGUGGAGAUGCUUAUGCAGUUUUGUUCUUUGAAAUCAAAGUCUUUAUCUUUGUUCACUCCACUCUCCAUUAUCUCGAGGAGUUCGAGCUGUAGUUUCAUUAGAGGAAUUUCUGGUCACACGCCUAAUUUUAGCUCCGAUGGAAUCCCUAAGUCGGUCAGUUUACUCACGGAGAAGAAGACUUCUUUGCGUCUUAUUGGGGAAAAAAAUAUUAACGAGGUGGUGUCUGAGUUGACGACUGAAUUGACCUCACAUAUUGGUGAUUCGGAGAAGAUCUCUUCAAUCUUGGAAGCCAAACUUCCUUACUUGAUUCGAAGCUACAGCAGAGGAUCUCCCUUUUUUGAGCUAUUGGAGGGGUUGGGUACCUGGCCUCAUUUAGCCCUAGAGGUAUUUAAUUGGAGAAGGAAACAAGGUGAUAAUGUCGGUGUACCAAUGGCGGCAGAGGAAUAUGCCAAAGGAAUUACAAUUGCAGGCAGAGUUAAGAAUGUUGAUCUUGCUGUUGAGUUGUUUAUGGAUGCUGUUAAUAAGGGAAUGAAGUCAUCUUCUAUUUAUAAUGCACUGAUGGCUGCCUAUAUGUAUAAUGGUUUGGCUGAGAAAUCUCAGUCACUUUUUCGAGAUUUAAAAAGAGAACCAAAUUGUUGCCCUACAAUUGUGACAUACAACAUUCUCAUCUCAAUUUUUGGUCGUUUGAUGCUGGUCGAUCACAUGGAGGCAACUUUCCGGGAGACACAAGAGUUGAAUCUUUCCCCUAAUUUGAGUACAUAUAAUAAUCUGAUUGCUGGGUAUGUCACAGCGUGGAUGUGGGAUGAAAUGGAGAAGACUUUCAUGACUAUGAAGGCAGGCCUUGUCAAACCCAAUAUUGACACCCACUUGCUAAUGCUUCGUGGGUAUGCACAUUCAGGCAAUUUGGAGAAGAUGGAGAAGGCUUAUGAGGCGGUAAAGGAUCAUGUGAACACAAGGGAAAUUCCUUUGAUUAGAGCCAUGAUAUGUGCAUAUUGUAAGAGCUCAGAUACUGAUAGAAUUAAAAAGAUUGAGGCACUACUGAAGGUAAUUCCAGAGAACGAAUAUAGGCCUUGGUUGAAUGUGCUGUUAAUUAGGGUUUAUGCACAAGAGGACUUGAUGGAAGGGAUGGAGGAUUCCAUAAAUGAUGCAUUUGAACAUAAAACUUCAGUCACAACUAUACAUGUGAUGCGUUCUAUCAUAGCAACUUAUUUCAGGUGCAAUGCAGUGGACCAGCUUGAAAAGUUUGUGAAGCAGGCUGAGUCUGCUGGCUGGAGAAUUUGUCGGUCCUUGUAUCAUUGUAAGAUGGUCAUGUAUGGGGCACAUAAUCGGCUGGAGGAGAUGGAAAAUGUGCUUGAUGAGAUGGGAAGUUUCAAUAUUGAUCCCUCAAAGAAGACAUUCGUCAUCAUGUAUAAGGCCUACUUAAAGUAUGGCCAAAGACAUAAGCUAGAUCGGUUGCUAGGGAUUAUGUGCAAACAUGGGUUUGGAAUUCCAUUGGAUGCCUCUCCUUCCUAGGUUACAUUGGAAACAUGCUUUUCAACAAUUCAAAAAUUCAUUCAUCAAAUUAUUGCAAAUGGUUCAUGACAUCUGGGAGGACAAUUUCAGCUCCUAGAAGAAUUUGAAGAUUACUACCAUUUAUUUGUUCGUUUCCUCACCAACAAUUUAUCUACGAAGAUGGUAUUCAACAACAGUGCAAUUUAUCUUGUCGACACCAACCUUGUGCUGCAAUUUUAUCUGAGAGCGCUUUUUUGGCACUCAGGGAUGAAUUUAAUUUUCACUAAUCAAAUUUCUAAUCAUGUGAUUUUUUGCUAGUCACAUCAUUGUUACUAUGUUGUUGGAGUGCCUUCCUUGAGAAGGGCUUAUGAUGUAGCUAUUGGAUGCUCAUUUUUUGUCUUCUUUAAGCAGAUUGGAACUUAGCUAAGUACCUUCUUUGAGAAGUGCUUUUGAUGUUGUUCUCCACCACUUAUUUUGUUCGUUGCUGAUAUUUAUGUUGGGUUUAUUCAACAUGCCAAUUUAAUUAAUUUAUUUAUUUAUUUUAAUAUAUUGAUACUGCUGAUGGUUGGUGUGCUUGAGUUGACAUUUCUACCAGAAUGAAGUUCUUUGUGCUCGCUAGCUUCUACAACUGCUAUCCAAGACUAGUGUUGCUUUUAAUAUCUGUUCUUGUUGUGAUUUCUUAUUAUGCUUUAUGUGUUAUUGUUGGGAGUUAAUUGUCAGUAGGUUAGACUCAGUAGAUUAGGUUGCCUAUUUUGAUUAGUAGAUUAGGUUGCCUAUUUUGAUUAUGAUUGUAUGUUUUACAAAUUAUUAUAUUAUAAAUAAGAGGAACAACCCACAGUAGAUUUUUAGGCUGAAUCUAUCGUGGUUCAGCACAGCUCUCUCUUGGUUCUCUACACUUCUUCUCCUCUACAGGCCCUGGUUUGUUAGGCUUAAAUUUGUUGUAAUAUCAUUGUUUUUGGGUUAAAUGCAGCAUUACAAAUUUGCUGAUCUAUAUAAUUUAGUUAUUGUUGCCACCAAAACUCAAUUCUGAGCUUGUUUGUUUGUCGACAACAUCGAAUAUAGCAUUUUCCAGCUCAUUAGAACCGAGUGGCUUUAUCAACACUAAGGCAAAAUCUUCCUGAUAUGUUCCCAUAAAUGCUUUUGAUUGGAAGUAGGUCUAUUUGUGGACCUUCUUCAAGUUGUUUGGGUGGAUGAUGCACCUUUUGUUUCUUCUUAAUUGACUGGAUAUUGUCUUGCAGAGACGGAGAGUUGUAAGGAUUGCAGCAUUAUGUGAGGUAAUGAUAACAAAUUUUUUUUUCAUUUCCCUUACCUUUAUUUCCCUUGCAGCCAAAUGGAGCCUGGUUAAUUGAAUUAGCCAAUUACCUUCCAAUGCAUCACUUCAACAUCGAUUUUCACUUCCUGUUGGCAAAUUAUCUCAGUUGUUGGAUCUUUCUUUAGAGAUAUUGCAGUAUGAAAUAGAUGAGCUUUACCGGAAGUCUUCUUAGA